rnacentral:lncRNA from 1 species
CCAUACUCCUCGUCAUCUACGGCUUUAAUAAUCCUGGAUUUAGGGUGGGCCCUAAAUCCAAUGACUGGUGUCUUCAUAUGGGAAAGGACGGAGACAUGACACCCAGAGACACAGCGGCGGGGCCAUGUAAAGAUGGAGGCAGAGAUUGGAGUAAUGUGGCCACAAGCCAAGAAAUGCCAAGGAUUGCUGAAGCCACCGGAAGCUGGGGGAGGCAGGGGAUGGAGGCUGCUUUCUCAGAGCCUCCAGAAGGAACCAACCCAGCCAAUACCUUCAUUUUGGACUUCAGGCCUCCAGAACUGUGAGAAAACAAACUUCUGUUGUUUGAAGCCACCCAGUUUGUGGUGACUUGCUAUGGCAGCCCUAGGAAUCUAUUUCAUCCUAAGAGAGAGGGAAAGGACAAGAGGAGGAGGAGGGAGGGCAAGGGAAGAAAGCAAAAGUGAAAGCAGGAAGGAAGAGGAGAGAGAAAAUCGAAGCAGAGGCACAGAGAGAGGUGCAGUACCAAGUGCUGUACAGGCAUUGUCUUCGCGGAUGCACCUGCUGCGACCUCACAUUAAAAGGAGAAACGGACGCUGAUCAGGGAGGAAAAGACCCUGCCCGAGGACCCUGGAAGAUGAAUAAAAUGGGGUCAGGAGAAGCAGCCCCCUCUCCAAAGCCAUGCAGCUUCUAAGUCACAACAGCCACCCCAGGCUUCAGGCUCCAAGACCAGCACUCUUGCUCCUGCUCCACAGCCACCAAGGUGCAUCAGUGUUCCAUCACCACUUGGGUGAUUCGCGGGCUGUCUUGCAUGUAUAAUACCUGAGUCCGAAUGCUGCCUCCCCACACUUACUGCUCCCGAAUUCUCCUUACUUUGGCCCUGUCUCUCAUGAGCCAACAGUGUCUGAAAUACCACCGUG